UGUCGGAGCGAGCUUGCUCGCGAUAGCGCCGGAUCAGUCAGCGACGAGGUGGCUGAUAGACUGCUAUCGCGAGCAAGCUCGCUCCCACA
rnacentral:antisense_RNA from 1 species